UACAGAGGGUGCGAGCGUUAAUCGGAAUUACUGGGCGUAAAGCGCGCGUAGGCGGCUUUGCAAGUCGGGUGUGAAAUCCCCAGGCUUAACCUGGGAACUGCAUUCGAGACUGCAUUGCUAGAGUAUGGGAGAGGGAAGUGGAAUUUCCGGUGUAGCGGUGAAAUGCGUAGAUAUCGGGAGGAACACCAGUGGCGAAGGCGGCUCACUGGACCGGUUCUGACGCUGAGGCGCGAAAGCGUGGGGAGCAAACGGG
rnacentral:rRNA from 1 species